AGAGUUUGAUCAUGGCUCAGGAUGAACGCUGGCGGUCUGCUUAACACAUGCAAGUCGAACGGAGUAGAAAUACUUAGUGGCGGACGGGUGAGUAACGCGUGAGAAUCUGCCUUCAGGACGGAGACAACAGUUGGAAACGACUGCUAAGCCCCGAUGAACCGAAAGGGAAAAUAUUUAUAGCCUGAAGAUGAGCUCGCGUCCGAUUAGCUAGUUGGGGGGGUAAAGGCCCACCAAGGCGACGAUCGGUAGCUGGUCUGAGAGGACAAUCAGCCACACUGGGACUGAGACACGGCCCAGACUCCUACGGGAGGCAGCAGUGGGGAAUUUUCCGCAAUGGGCGAAAGCCUGACGGAGCAAGACCGCGUGGGGGAAGAAGGCUCUUGGGUUGUAAACCCCUUUUCUCUGGGAAGAAAGUUGUGAAAGCAACCUGACGGUACCAGAGGAAUCAGCAUCGGCUAACUCCGUGCCAGCGGCCGCGGUAAGACGGAGGAUGCAAGCGUUAUCCGGAAUGAUUGGGCGUAAAGCGUCCGCAGGUGGCAGUUCAAGUCUGCUGUCAAAGACCGGGGCUUAACUUCGGAAAGGCAGUGGAAACUGAACAGCUAGAGUAUGGUAGGGGCAGAGGGAAUUCCUGGUGUAGCGGUGAAAUGCGUAGAGAUCAGGAAGAACAUCGGUGGCGAAGGCGCUCUGCUGGACCAUAACUGACACUCAGGGACGAAAGCUAGGGGAGCGAAUGGGAUUAGAUACCCCCGUAGUCC
rnacentral:rRNA from 1 species